rnacentral:lncRNA from 10 species
GAAAUUUCAGUGCAUUUCCCCCUAUAUCAUGUUACCAACACUAACAACUUUUGCCACUGAUAGUUGCUUAUAAAAUGAAAUCUGUAUAUGUGCUAACUGAAAUUAAUUUUUUUAAAAAACCUCUGCAGAUAAUACAAAAGCUUAAAAAAGACUUUGAACCCCCCAAAGGAAUGUUAUAAUCAGCAUACUUUAUUCAUAGCAAGUAACUCCUCCAAAUCCUACACAACCCACUUAUUCUUACUUUAAAUUCAUUUCUGGACAAAUGUGACAAUAUGGUUUCUUGGCCUAUAGGCACCCAGACCUAGAAAAUUAAAAUGGAGUGGCAGGCAACAUACCAGGCCUAAGGACUACUAUAGAAAACAAAUGGUUGGGAAAGGCAGUGAAAAGCUGUUAAAUGUGGCUAAAGGAACUUAAGGACAGGCCUGGUGGCUCACGCCUGUAAUCCCAACAGUUUGGGAGGCCGAGGUGGGUGGAUCACCUGAGGUCAGGAGUUUAAGACCAGCCUGGGCAACAUGGUGAAACCCCAUCUCUACCAAAAAUACAAAAAUCAGCUAGGCGUGGCAGCACAUGCCUGUAAUCCCAGCUAUUCGGGUGACUGAGGCAGGAGAAUCGCUUGAACCAGGGAGGCAGAUCACAGCACUGCACUCCAACUGGGCAACAGAGUGAGACUCCGUCUCAAAAAAAAUAAAAAACAAAUAAAGGAACUUAAAAUGCCCAGUAAUCUGGGUCAUUUGUUUAGGUAAAGAGAGCCAUACAUACAUCAGUCUCCCGAAAGGCCAUCCAUGACCUAUAACAUAGCCUAAUAACAUAAAGUUCAUUGUAAAAACCUGCCUUUGUCAGGAAAGGCCACAUUUUGUUCUGUAUGUUCAGUUUACAUAGACAUGGAAAUAAGCUAAAGAAUUCUCUUUUGUUCCAGCAUUAACUCUCUUUCUGCCUAUAGUACUUUUCUAUCUUCUUGGCAGGAAACCUUUUAUUCAGCUUCUAAUCUGAACCUAGCUCCUACUUCCUUCCCUGAAACAGAAAUUCCGGUAAUACAUCAAAAUAGUUUAAUAUUAGCUACAGGAAUACCAUCUACCUAAAGGUAAAACAUGAGAUUACAAAAUUCUAAAGAUAGAUGGAAACAGCCAAAGGAAUGAGGGCGGUCCAUGCCACUGACUACACACAGUAAAUGACUUCUACCACUUAUCAAGCACACAAUGUCUUUUUUCUGAAAGUAUUGCAUGAAAUAAAUGUACUUAAACUAUGACUCCAAAAUUACCUCAUGAAUGCUUAGCAAUCAGUAUUACGUCAGGAAAACAAUGUCUGCUUUCUAGGUUUGCAGUUUUUGUAAGAUAUCUUCAGCCCCUCCCAUACAUAAUUUAGAAAAAUAGCAAACUUCAGCACUGACACAAAAUUACCCAUCUCUACUGAUGGAAAAUGAUUACAAUUUAAAAUACUAAAAGAUACUGGGUAAGCUAAUUACUAAAAUUUGAAAACUCCACCAUCUAGUGGCACAAAUAUAACUUAUCAUCUACUUCCAUUAUGGAUACAACUUAAAUCAGUUUUAAAUAUUCAGUCACAAAAUUCAAUGACUAACAUUACUGCAGCAGUAAUGACAUAGAGUAUCUUUAAAAACAGCUUCAUCUUUUGCUAUACUACCUUAGGUAAGCAUUCAUUCUCUUCACUAAAGCACCUGUACCCAAAUGUGCCUUUCACAGCUCUACUUUGUGUACAUGCCAUUCCUUAAGCUUAGAAUGCCCAUUCUCACUUCACUGUCUAAUCAUUAGUCUUAAUGGCAAACUCCACAAUAAUGUAGUGCCUAUUAACCAUGUCACAUAUAUUAACUUAUUUAAUCCUUCCAAUAUUAUCCCCAUUCUACAGAUUUUUUUAAAGGAGCCACAGAAAUAUUAAUUUACUCAAGCUUCCAUAGCAAAUCAAUUGCAGAGCCAGGAUUUGAAUCCAGGCAGUCCAGAUCGAGCUCAUGUUCCUAUCAGGCUACACUGCCUCUCAAUCAGCGUGUACAUCUACUGUAUACAUUUACUAAUCCAUUUCCUUCUCUAGAUUGGAAGCAAAGAGGUAUGGCCAUUCUUAACUCAUUUUUUAAUCAAUUCUGAAUAACAUAAUAAUGGAAAAUUUUAACUGAGUGCAAAUUCCAGCUAGUAAUAUGACCUUGGGCAAGUUAAAUAAACCCUGUAGCCUCAGUUUACUUAUCUGUAAAAUAAAUCUAUGCUAUGCAGUGGUGCCAAAAAGAACAAUAAACAUAAGACACAGGGCAGAGGCUGGCACAGUGUAUUUUGCCAUUAGGAGUAUCUAUUAUUGUAGAAGUAUCUUAGGUGAGUAGCUAGAGAACUCAAAAUUUGGAAUCUUUACAAGAUAUGGGCUUG